CAGCCGCCACGGUAAUACAGAGGGUGCGAGCGUUAAUCGGAUUUACUGGGCGUAAAGCGUGCGUAGGCGGCUUCUUAAGUCGGAUGUGAAAUCCCUGAGCUUAACUUAGGAAUUGCAUUCGAUACUGGGAAGCUAGAGUAUGGGAGAGGAUGGUAGAAUUCCAGGUGUAGCGGUGCAAUGCGUAGAGAUCUGGAGGAAUACCGAUGGCGAAGGCAGCCAUCUGGCCUAAUACUGACGCUGAGGUACGAAAGCAUGGGGAGCAAACAGGAUUAGAUACCCCCGUAGUCCCUGUCUCUUAUAC
rnacentral:rRNA from 1 species